rnacentral:rRNA from 1 species
AUUGAACGCUGGCGGCAGGCCUAACACAUGAAAGUCGAACGAGUGGCGGAAGGGGGCGUAAUGUCUGGGAAACUGCCCGAUGGCGGGGGAUAAAUACUGGAAACGGUAGCUAAUACCGCAUACCAACGGAUGUGCCCAGAUGGGAUUAGCUGGUAGGUGAGGUAACGGCUCACCUAGGCGACGCUCCCUAGCUGGUCUGAGAGGAUGACCAGCCACACUGGAACGUAGACACGGUCCAGACUCGUACGGGAGGCAGCAGUGGGGAAUAUUGCACAAGGGGCGCAAGACUGAUGCAGCCAUGCCGCGUGUAUGAAGAAGGCCUUCGGGUUGUAAAGUACUUUCAGCGGGGAGGCGUUACCCGCAGAAGAAGCACCGGCUAACUCCGUGCCAGCAGCCGCGGUAAUAC